ensembl:lncRNA
CUGAAUAGAGGGAAUGGUGAACCUCGAAUUUGGCUUCGGAAAAUAGUUUAAUGAUCAUUUCUGAAGCCCCUUGCCCACCAGGAGUGCCUGAGGUCACAGCUAGUCCACGGUCAAGUCCACAUCCACGGAAACCCAGGAAAGAAGGUGAAGGGAGGAGGUUGGGUUAGGGUAUGGUGUAACUGCCAGGACUUUUGGAUCCUGUGAGGCCUCCAGCUCCUCCCUCAAGGUCCAAGGAGGUGAGGCCUGGAUUCAGAAUGUGGAAGGGGCCAUAGGACUGAGUCUUGAUCUAUAGGCUACUGUGUCUCCAGAACCAGAAUUGGAGGGUCUCGGUGGAAAUGGAGGGGCCCCGGAAAGCCUCGAAAUGCUGGCCCAGGAAAGCCUCAGAGAAGAAGAACUUAAUGGUGCUGACUGCCCCUGUCACAGCCUGGGAGGAAAAAUGAACCAGACCACAGGACGACUGCAGGCCGGGAUGAAAGAGAAGUCAGUUCCUUCUGCUGUUCAUUGUGUCAGAUGGGCCACCCGGGGCUCAGGGAGACCUGGUUUGGGGCUAAGCCCCGGGUGACUGUCUUCCCUACGCCACCCCUGCCUCCCUGUGCUGAGGAUCUUCAGAGGCCUGGGCAUCAUGGGUAAGUUCUGCCCUGAGCCAUCCUUCAGUUUCCAGCCAUUGAGACCUCCUGAACUGUUUCGUCUCAUCUCAAAUUCCAGCCUUGCCAUUCCCCCAGCCAACUCCCACCCCCUCAUCAGGAUCCCCUUUCCCACUCAUCUCCUAUAUUUCCAUCCCCUGGAAGCAAUACAGGGAGCAUGCCUACCUGAGAUGAGCUGAAGUCCUAAAGAAACAGAUGAGCGAUCUGGUGAGAUCUGGACCCAAGACAGGCAUCUCCUCCCAAGUCUGGGAGAGAAAGACCCCUCCACAGCCUCAGCCAUCAACAUCUACUAAGCAGCUGCUCAUUUGAUGCUUAAUAUAGUCCCACAAGAUGGGCACAGUAUCUGCAUUUUCAGAAUUAAAAGAAAAAAAAAAAGACAAAACACAGGUGCACAUUCAUCGUUGGACAUUUAGGUGGUUUCCACGUCCUGGAUACACUAUCAGGUGUAAAACAGAAAGCUAGUGGGAGCCUGCUGUAAAACACAGGAAGACCAGCUCAGUGCUCUGUGAU